rnacentral:rRNA from 1 species
AGCUUUGAUCCGUAGAUAUCCGAAGUGGGGAAACCCGGCGCGCAAGCGUCACUCCCACCUGAAUAUAUAGGGUGGGUAGAGCGAACGCAGCGAACUGAAACAUCUAAGUAGCUGCAGGAAAAGAAUCAACCGAGAUUCCCAAAGUAGUGGCGAGCGAAAUGGGAAGAGCCUGUAUGUGAUAGUCAACUGGUUAGUGGAACGGAAUGGAAAGUCCGGCGAUAGAGGGUGAUAGCCCCCGUACACCGAAAACUGGUUGGUGGUACUGAGCAUACGACAAGUAGGGCGGGGCACGAGAAACCCUGUCCUGAACAUGGGGGGACCAUCCUCCAAGGCUAAAUACUCGUAAUCGACCGAUAGUGAACCCAGUACCGUGAGGGAAAGGCGAAAAAGAACCCCGGGAGGGGAGUGAAAUAGAACCUGAAACCGUGUGCAUACAAACAGUG